rnacentral:rRNA from 1 species
CUGUGGUCUGCAACCGACCACNCGAAGCUGGAAUCGCUAGUAAUCGCGGAUCAGAAUGCCGCGGUGAAUACGUUCCCGGGUCUUGUACACACCGCCCGUCACACCAUGGGAGUCAGCAACGCCCGAAGUCAGUGACCCAACCAUUAUAGGAGGGAGCUGCCGAAGGCGGGGCAGGUGACUGGGGUGAAGUCGUAACAAGGUAGC